GGAGGGCCAUAGCUCAGGGGCAGAGCAUCUGCUUUGCACGCCAGAGGUCGCAGGUUCAAUCCCCGGCAUCUCCA